CUGUGACCGUCGGACUGUGUGGACGCAUUCACAAGUUCGUGCCAACCGUCCUUCAAGGAUCAUUUUCCAUUUUACAGAAGGAACUCGUAAUGGCAUGAUUUCGAGGAAUGCUGCAUAUAGUCAAUGGACCAGCGAUAGAAGCUUCGAUCAUGCACAAUACAGACGAACAACCACGGGAGCAACUGCGGACUAAACUUAGGCAUCUAAAUAUAACUGAAUCCGUAAAUAACCAAGCACAUUUAUCUCAUUCCAGUAAUGAAUUUAACAACUUUCAAAGCGAACACUUCCCUCGUGUUCAUGGAAUACUUUCAACUCCUCCCGAGAAUCCAAAUGAUUUAAGAUUUGUUCCGUGUAACGAGUUAGAAGUCUUUCGAAGUUCGAAUCUUUCACUUCGAUGGCGGCGGGUUUAGAUGGAAAUCCUCUAAAAUUCAAAAAAUUGAUUUUACCCUUCAUUAUUAUUACACUUGAUUCCAACAUUAUAGUUUCCUUGUUCGUGGAAAGUAUCAAAAGUUACUCCAAUUGCAAAGAAAAAGCCUAGAAAUAAACCUUUAAAUUAUUUACGUCCUUUCAGCAUACUUUGUGUUUUAUCUAAGGCUUUUGAAAAGAUUGCCAUAAAAAAAAACAAAUGUAAAAGCUCAUAAAUGCUUUCAACCUGCUUACUUUGUAUCAAUCAGGGUCAUAGGACCACCCCCCGAGUCGGCGUCAAGUAAUUUUUCCGAAUGGGUAGUGAGAAAUGGGUGACAAAGGCGUAGCCGGACCAACUGAUACCUGAAAAUAAUUUUUCGGAAAAUCGA